rnacentral:lncRNA from 1 species
UGUGAGUAACUCUCAAAAUUCUCUCUCGGAUAUAACACACAAAAGAAUUGUUUUUGUGUUGGUGUAUUUUAGCUUGCUCCCGAAUGGCCUUUAUAUAGGCAAAGAAUGUGGUGAAAAAGACAUGGUUGGUGGGGUUGGUGACCUACCAAUUUGAACAUUGUUUUUGUGUUGGUGUAUUUUAGCUUGCUCCCGAAUGGCCUUUAUAUAGGCAAAGAAUGUGGUGAAAAAGACAUGGUUGGUGGGGUUGGUGACCUACC